rnacentral:rRNA from 1 species
AAUAGAUACCCGGGUAGUCCACGCCGUAAACGAUGUACGCUAGAUCGGUGCGGGUCUGACCCCGUAUCGGUCGUAGUAAAAACGAUAAGCGUACCGCCUGGGGAGUACGGUCGCAAGGCUAAAACUCAAAGGAAUUGACGGGGGGCUCACACAAGCGGUGGAGCAUGUUGCUUAAUUCGAGGCAACGCGAAGAACCUUACCUGGGUUUGACAUGCUUGGAUUAACCCCAUGAAAGUGGGGCCACGCCCGCAAGGGUGGAACAAGCACAGGUGCUGCAUGGCUGUCGUCAGCUCGUGCUGUGAAGUGUCGGGUUAAGUCCUCUAACGAGCGCAACCCCUAUCGUUAGUUGCUCACGGGUAAAGCCGAGUACUCUAGCGAGACUGCCGGUGUCAAACCGGAGGAAGGCGGGGAUGACGUCAAGUCCUCAUGGCCCUUACAUCCAGGGAUGCAAACGUGCUACAAUGGCGCGCACAAAGCGACGCGAGGCCGCGAGGCGGAGCAAAUCGCAAAAAUCGCGCCCCAGUUCGGAUUGCAGGCUGCUAAC